ACGGUCUUACAAAGUUGGAAGAUGAUUUUCGAGGUGUGUUUAAACCUUCAAAUUAUUUAAUAUUAUGUGUAUUCAUUAUUUAGUUUCAUAGAGGAUUUGCCGUAAGAUCCUAACGCGAUCGUUUUAACACAAUCGCAGUCUGCUGGCGGGUCCGUCAACGGCCGUUCCAGGCAGAGGAGAAGGCUUGAUUGCGCCAAAGACUCCAGACAUCGAAUCCUUGCUCCGAGGGGAAAUCAUCGAAAACGACGGUGAAUGUCCGACAGGCACCCGCUAUUGGUAGCACUGGACAAGUCGGAUAUCCUUGCUUGGAUCCUUUUAAAGUUGCCCGAUAAACUGCUGAGAGUUGAUCUCUCCUCUUGUCCAAAGGUUUUUCGUUCAUUUUUACUUGUAAUACUGGCACUAGGGUUGAUGUAGUAGCUCCACAACAUAACCUUAAAGCCUGUGACUGGAUCCGGUCUAUUUUCCCAAGUCAUGUUUUUGAAGCAGAUUGGUAAAUAAUGCAUCCGUAAUCAAUAACAGAUGGAAUUAAAGUUAUAAAUAUAUACAUGUAUUGUUUUCAACGUUAACCUAUCAGCCCCCCAAUCAUUACCCCUCAAAGACCUCAUUAUAUUUAACACCUUUUUACUUUUUCCCCUAUUUUUUUAUUUUCCGGAAGGAACACUCCUGAAGGAAUAAAUAAAGUACUAUCUAAUCUAAUCUAAUCAAAUCUAUUUUGCUGAUGUGGGUUGACUAGUUCAUAUUUUUAUCAAACCAUAUUCCUAAAUAUUUAAAUACUUGUACCUCUUCUAUAUUUUCACCUUAGAGUUU